rnacentral:rRNA from 1 species
ACUCAAAGGAAUUGACGGGGGCCCGCACAAGCGGUGGAGCAUGUGGUUUAAUUCGAUGCAACGCGAAGAACCUUACCUGGGUUUGACAUCCGGAGACAUCCCUAGAGAUAGGGCUUCCCCUUCGGGGGCUCCGAGACAGGUGCUGCAUGGCUGUCGUCAGCUCGUAUCGUGAGAUGUCGGGUUAAGUCCCUUAACGAGCGCAACCCUUGUCCUUAGUUGCCAUCAUUUAGUUGGGCACUCUAUGGAGACUGCCGGCGUUAAGCCGGAGGAAGGCGGGGAUGACGUCAAGUCCUCAUGGCCUUUAUAUCCAGGGCUACACACGUGCUACAAUGGCUGGUACAGAGGGUCGCCAACCCGCAAGGGGGAGCUAAUCCCAGAAAGCCAGUCUCAGUUCGGAUUGAAGUCUGCAAUUCGACUUCAUGAAGCUGGAAUCGCUAGUAAUCGCGGAUCAGAACGCCGCGGUGAAUACGUUCCCGGGCCUUGUACACACCGCCCGU